AGUAACUACUCUCUUUUCACUCUGCAACUUCUCAUCAAUUCAGUUUUCUCACAAAGUCCGACCAACUGCCAAUCUCAAAAUUCAAUCAGAUAAGUUCACCAAAAGAUAGACUUUGUUGUGCAUCAGAAUCAGCAAGCAAACAGAGCCAGGAAGAACACGAGGAUCGCUUGAAAAAUGUAUUAAAGACGCUGGAGGAAAAUCAAUUGUUUACCAAGUUCUUGAAGCAUGAAUUUUGGCUAGACUCAGUGGCAUUCCUUGGCAAUAUUGUAACUACGGAUGUGAUUACAGUAGAUUCUAAUGGGAUAGAAGCGGUUCAAAAGUGGCAAGAAUCAACUGCUUCUAUGGAGAUUCACAACUUCUUGGCUAAGGAGGCUACUACAAGUAAUUUCUGUAUAAUUUCUCAAUUUGUCCAUAGUAGUGCAGCCAUUUACCAAGUUAACAUAGAAAAAAAAGGAUAAUUCAAAGUUUCAGUGGAUGAAGAAAUGUGAGUAGAGCUUUUAGAAUCUCAAGAAAUGUUUGACCACUAUUGGUAUUAGCUUUACCAUCAAGUUUUAGUGAAUUCACGAUAUUAUGUAAUGUUUCAAAA